UGAAAAUCUGGUGCCUGGCUAAAUUUCAGUUUCAGUAACAAAAUAUUGUUAUAUACUGUGUAGAAAGAAGGAAAAGAGGCGAAGAGUAAGAACAGAUUUCCUGAGUCUGUUUCCUUGAAUUCACAUUACCUGGUGUUCCACUCCUCCGUAACACCGAGAUGAUCAGAGCCCUGGCAGGGCAGCGGUCUGUCCAACUGCCAGCAGAGAAGCUCUGACCUGACAGCAGACUCAAUCUUCUGGUCUGAUGGACGAUGGUGGUGCCAGCACAUGUGUCUUCUGGAAGAUAGGAAUGUGGAUCUCACACAGCAGUAGGACUUUUUUUCCCUUUACAAUGGCCGAGCAGAGCAGCAGCAGUGCCAUUGAUUCCUGCUGUUGCCGCCCUGCUGAACGCCAAGACAGAUAAACUGUGGGAUGUUCUUAGCAGCUCCUCCAUGGGGUAGUAAGAUAAACAUGAGAAACAUAAGGAGAUAUUAAAGAGUAGAUUAUAAUCCAUUUUCAGGAAACAGCAUUUUCUCCAGCAAGAGAGACUGAACUUUAUCAAAGGGGAAACUUCUCCAGGAGGACUUGCCAAAGUAAAUCUCUUUGAUGCAAAUGGUUUAAGCAAAGACAUUCACCUUAAUCUACUGUGUGGUGACCUGCUCUUCUGAUACAAAGAAUAAUUAUGGGUGUUUUCGGAAUUGCUGUGGUCUGCAAAUCCUCCAAAUCUAAGUUCUUAAUGUUCCCGCUUCACCACUCUGAUCUUGGUCACCCACAUUUCUUGUAAUUUUGGCCUUGCUUAAUGCCUUUAGGUGUUGUUACUUGGAAAGACUUCACUGCCUUUUGAAGGACAGAUCAAAAAAUAACAAGCUUUUUUUUUUUUUUACCUUUACAUUUAAUUGUUGUGCCUGGGUCUAAUAAAGUGAAUGACCCACAAAUAACUUGAUCGAAGUGCAGAACACAGUGGAGUGGAGAAGACGAGUGUUUAGCUGUUGAAAUCAAUACUUUCAUGCAGAUUGAUGUCUGUGCCAGUUUGCCAUCCCGGACGUUUUCAGUUUAGUUUAUUUGUGUUACAGUAGUAGUGACAAUGUAGUUAAAUAUAGCCUCUGAAAACAGGAUCUCUGCUUGUUUCAUUUGUAUUCUACUGUUCUUUCAUUAAACAUUUCUUCAUCUUUGCAGAG
ensembl:lncRNA